UAAACUGAUGAAAUUUUCAUUUUUGAACUAAGCCUGUAAUAAAAGAAUGUGGCCAUAUGCGUCACCCAAGAUGCGUGCUAAUGCCAGGUGUGAACAGAGCCACUGUGUGACUACACAAUCAACUUAGCAGAAUGGUUCCUGAGAGAGAUAUUGUUGUCAUUUAUUGUUUUUUCUUUUUUUUCUUUUCAAGAAGCCAAGUUCCUGGCUUCUCCCAAGACCUUCAAGGACCCAAUUGACCUCGGAAUCAGCUGUAAAGGAGGAUGAAACCGAUGUCUAAGAAUGGGACAGCGAUAUUG